rnacentral:rRNA from 1 species
UGCAACGGCCAUGCCACCCUGAACAUGCCCGAUCUCGUCUGAUCUCAGAAGCUAAGCAGGGUCGGAUCUGGUUAGUACUUGGAUGGGAGACCACCUAGGAAGACCAGGUGCUGUAGGCA